rnacentral:tRNA from 1 species
GCAUUGGUGGUUCAGUGGUAGAAAUCUUGCCUCCCAUGCGGGGGAGCCGUGUCCGAUUCCCGGCCAAUGCA